rnacentral:lncRNA from 1 species
CCAUCUGUUACGAUGAACUGUCGUUCCCGUUAAUUUGUUUCAGUUAUUCUCGAUAAAUAACUAAAUACUGUCAGAUGAGUUGAGUCAUCUAUCGAUAUGAAUUGAUAUUCUUGACAGAUAAACCAUCAUUCUCUCCAGUUAAAGGCUGUAUUUCUUAACAUAUGACAACUUCUCGAUAAGUCAAUUUGGUAGUCAUCUAUCCACACAUCCAAAUUUUGUUCAUCUGAACAUUACAUGUCUGUGAUUUUUCUUUCUUACAUGUGUGUGUUGCAUUAACAAGUAUUAAUUAUUAUGAUAUAAUUUUUUUACUUUGUUCUUGUAGAUGAAUUUUGAAUUCAUUGUUCGCGAAACUGGCAGAGGCAUAUAACCGGAAGGUGUGUGCCUUGAAUGACCAGGAGGGUCCAUUGCCUAGUGCAAACAAGGAGGUAAAUGGUAUGUAUGUUAAUUAUGAGGAAUUCAAAAUUUUAAAUACUCUCAUCUUAUUCCUUAGUGAACAAACUAGAAAUUGAUGACAUAUCCAAUAAUAUUGCAAAUAUUGUUUUCAACUAGAUGGAUGAGGAAUAGAGCCUAAGUGUCUUGCUUGAACAAAGAAAAAGUUCCCUUGGGUUGUAACGUGAUAGAGGUGAACGGUAAAUUUUGUUUUUGACAAUUUAUACUAAGUUGAAUUCUGAUUAUAUAUUAAAAGUACAUUGAGUUGAAAACUAAUGUUGAAUGUCUUCUCAUAACUUAAAUGCAGAUGAUACAACAAUGUUGGAUGAUGUCAUGGAGGAAAGUACCCUUCUCACUUCUAAAGCUAUGGUUCAACCUGAAAGUAAGUUCCCAAAGAAUGAUCUACAAUAUUGAUUUUAGGUACCUGAGCGAAUAAUUAGAUGUUGGUAGGCUAUGUUAUGUUAUUAUUUGGCAUUUUUGAUAAGUAAUUCACCAUACUACUUUGUAUGGGCGAUGUCCGAGACAUACUGGUGAUAGCCGUUGUACACGUUGAAGGCGACGAUAUAGUUAACACAAAGAGGCCACAAUCGACAUAUGUUCGCUUUCCUACAACAUCUAUUAAGACUCCAUACACCAAGAUGAGGAGAGAGAAGUCAAGAAUUAGUGCCCCAACAAGUUUGUUAAUGCUAUGAGAAACACUAUUAGAUUGUUGUAUGCUAAAUGCCUAUAGUAUGGACAAUUUUCCAAGAAUUUAAUUAUAAACAUGCAUUGGUGAUUGUAUUAUGCCAUUGUUUGAGCCCCAUUUUUUUGAGAAGAAUGAAUUUUUGAAUAGUGUAUUAAUGGGAAAUGUGUAAUUAAAAAAUAAGGAAAAGUUUUGAAUUUGUAUGUAGUAUUAUUUUAUUAAAAAAUGUGUGAUUGAAAU